UGGUGGAGCGAUUUGUCUGGUUUAUUCCGAUAACGAACGAGACUCUAACCUACCAACUAGCGACUGUAUUCGACUAGUUCAGUUCUCUUCUUAGAGGGAUAAGUGGUGUUCAGCCACAUGAAAAGGAGCAAUAACA
rnacentral:rRNA from 1 species